AGUAUAUUGAUUAUUGAUUAUUGAUUAUACUGUCAUAAAUUUUCUAGGUGUUUCACAAAUACCUUGUUUUGUUCUCACAACAAUCCCAUGAGGAACGCAUCACUGUUACUGUUUUAUGAAAGAGGACAAGUUUGCUUUGUGUCUGAUACAGGAAUCAGAUUUUCUGACAACACAGAAUAUCAGUUGCCUUCUUUAUAAGAAUUUUUCAUCUGAGAGCACCCAAAACAUGGAGUAUAGACCUUGGAAUAUACAUUUCCGCAUUAAAGAAGUGACCAUAUCACCUGAUAUUAUGGAUUUAAACAACAGUUGACAGCUCAACUUUUCAAAUAAAGUCCUUUAGAAAUGUGAACUGACUUAUUCA
rnacentral:lncRNA from 1 species